ensembl:snoRNA
AAGCCAUACUCUGUGACAGAUUAUCAAAGCGGUCUGGCACAAUUUGAGCUUGCUACAACAAGAAAGUCUAACCUAUUCCAGCAUUCUCCCCACUGUGAGAUAGACUGUUAUAUAGACUGAAACAGU